CAUAUUUUUAUACUUGGGCUUCUCAUUGUUCAUGUUUUGCUUCUUCUUAGGCUCAGGGCAAUGAUAUUUUAGAUGAACAAACUUCCACAAUUGUAGUACUUAGUUUCCUUGGAAUCUCUUAUGGUGUAUACUCGACACCUAAAACAUUUAGGAUUCAAUUCCUAUUUCAAU